UUUGCUGGGAUGGAAAAUGUUAAUUCAGUUCCCCAUGCAGCCCAUUGGGCAGCAUCUUGCAAAUUAACAAUCUUGCCUAUGGUUUCAUAAAACAGUAAAGGGUGAUUUUCUCUUGUAAAGUGGCUUGAACCCCACAGCAAUAGCACAAAUGAGCAGGGUCAUCAGAAGCCGCUCCGUUCUUCUGGAAGCUGCAGAGAAAGGGAACUCAGAAACCUGGUACGCCAGACGAAAGGGACACCAUUGGAGAAACUGGUCAUUUUACCAAGGCUUUGAUUGGAAUGGCAUGCUUCCUUUAAAGAAUCAAAGUUGACUUAUAGAGCCAAUUAAAGUCUGUUGGGGAAUCUGGCCUCAUACCUUGUCCACAUAGAGUCCCUGGACAAGGUUCCUGCACU
rnacentral:lncRNA from 1 species